GGACCAAGGAGUCUAGCAUGUGCGCGAGUCAUUGGGACUCGGACGAAACCUAAAGGCGCAAUGAAAGUGAAGUUCCGUCGAAUAAGCACGGAACGAGGGAGGAUGGGCGUUUCCGAUUGGAUCCGUCUCGCACUCCCGGGGCGUCUCUUUCUCAUCGCGAGUGGAGGCGCACCAAGAGCGUACACGCUGGGACCCGAAAGAUGGUGAACUAUGCCUGGUCAGGACGAAGUCAGGGGAAACCCUGAUGGAGGUCCGUAGCGAUUCUGACGUGCAAAUCGAUCGUCGGAACUGGGUAUAGGGGCGAAAGACUAAUCGAACCAUCUAGUAGCUGGUUCCCUCCGAAGUUUCCCUCAGGAUAGCUGGCGCUCGCGUAUCGCGAGUCUCAUUCGGUAAAGCGAAUGAUUAGAGGCAUUGGGGUCGAAACGGCCUCAACCUAUUCUCAAACUUUAAAUGGGUGAGAUCUCCGGCUUGCUUGAAACUUGAAGCCGCGAGAUAUCGGAUCAGAGUGCCAAGUGGGCCACUUUUGGUAAGCAGAACUGGCGCUGUGGGAUGAACCAAACGCUGAGUUAAAGCGCCUAAAUCGACGCUUAUGGGAUACCAUGAAAGGCGUUGGUAACUUAAGACAGCAGGACGGUGGCCAUGGAAGUCGGA
rnacentral:rRNA from 1 species